CUUUCUCCCCGCCGCAUUCCCGGUGUCGACUUACUAGCUGCAAGCCUCUGCCUGCCUUCCUGCGCGCCGUUCCCCGCUAGUCGCUGCUGCUGGCGCGCACUCGCCGGGUUUUUCCUCCCACGGCCUCGAGAUGGUGGUGAAUGUGGCACGGAGGAGCCGGGCCUUCCAACCCGGUGGGCCCGAGCUCCGAAAGGCCCCCUCGGCAGUGAGAGGGGCGGGAGCCCGCGGGGGCCGCGCCCUUCUCUCGCUUCGGACUGCGCAACGCUGCGCUCUGGGCUGACAGGCGGAUAAAACGGUCCCAUCAAGACUGAGAAAAAGCACACCAGCUAUUGGCACAGCGUGGGCAGUGGGGCCUACAGGAUGACUGACUUAGUCUACAGAGAUCCCGGCGUACUUAAGCAGGUAGUAAUGAUGGACAGAUGAAGACUCUUAAGAUGACAGAAGGUGAUUUUUCUGGUGAUCGAGGACUUCCGGGGUAAUGACAGUGAUGAAAUGCAGGGGACCUGGUUGCCCCCAAGUUUCCUGGCAGUGUGUGAUACUGAGGAGGUGAGCUUGUUUCUGGAGCUGUGCUUUAAGGUAAAGUUGAUCAGCUUAAUCCUCCUGAUCCCUUUCCCAUCGGAUCUGAACACUGGUCUUGGUGGUCGUAAAAGGAGGAAAAGUAAUAGUGAAGCUGGCCUAAAUGUUGUAAUCUGGUAUAUGGCAUGUGGGCUAGUUUCAGACAGGUUUCAGAGAUGGUUGGAUCUCUGAAAUUGUAAAAUGAAGUAUAAUCUUAGGCUAAGGGAAGGAUGCGUGUGAAGCUCUGGAGGUUGGUAUAGUAAUAGCUGACCUAUUACUGCAUUUGGGAGGGAUCUGUCAUAGCUUCCUUGCCUCUUAAUUAAGGGUGGUGUUUUUUUCUUUUAGAUUCAUGUUACAUGUAAAGCUGUCCUCAUUUGUGACUAUGGACCUAUGGAGUUGGGACAAUCUCUAUGGGAAGCAGAAGGCAAGGACCCCGGUCAUUUUAGGUAGAAACAACAGCAUGCUAAUGCAAAAAAUUAUGCAGUGUGCUACUGAACUUCAGAGGUGAUCAAUAAAAGAAGAAUAAAAAGACUAAUAAAAGUA
rnacentral:lncRNA from 10 species